rnacentral:rRNA from 1 species
GACGAACGCUGGCGGCGUGCUUAACACAUGCAAGUCGAACGAUGAAGCUAGAGCUUGCUCUGGUGGAUUAGUGGCGAACGGGUGAGUAACACGUGAGUAACCUGCCCCGAACUCUGGGAUAACUGCUGGAAACGGUAGCUAAUACCGGAUAUGACCAAUGAAGGCAUCUUCUGUUGGUGGCAAGAAUUUCGGUUCGGGAUGGACUCGCGGCCUAUCAGCUUGUUGGUGAGGUAACGGCGUACCAAGGCGACGACGGGUAGCCGGCCGGAGAGGGGGAUCGGCCACACUGGGACUGAGACACGGCCCAGACUCCGACGGGAGGCAGCAGUGGGGAAUAUUGCACAAUGGGCGCAAGCCUGAUGCAGCAACGCCGCGUGAGGGACGACGGCCUUCGGGUUGUAAACCUCUUUUAGUAGGGAAGAAGCGAAAGUGACGGUACCUGCAGAAAAAGCACCGGCUAACUACGUGCCAGCCGCCGCCGUAA